UACGUAGGGGGCUAGCGUUGUCCGGAAUCAUUGGGCGUAAAGCGCGCGUAGGCGGCCCGGUAAGUCCGCUCUGAAGGUCCAGGGCUCAACCCUGGAAUGCGGGUGGAUACUGCCGGGCUAGAGUCCGGAAGAGGCGAGUGGAAUUCCUGGUGUAGCGGUGGAAUGCGCAGAUAUCAGGAGGAACACCAAUAGCGAAGGCAGCUCGCUGGGACGGUACUGACGCUAAGGCGCGAAAGCGUGGGGAGCAAACAGA
rnacentral:rRNA from 1 species